rnacentral:rRNA from 1 species
GGAAUUUUGGACAAUGGACGCAAGUCUGAUCCAGCCAUGCCGCGUGCGGGAAGAAGGCCUUCGGGUUGUAAACCGCUUUUGUCAGGGAAGAAAAGGUUCUGGCUAAUACCUGGGACUCAUGACGGUACCUGAAGAAUAAGCACCGGCUAACUACGUGCCAGCAGCCGCGGUAAUACGUAGGGUGCAAACGUUAAUCGGAAUUACUGGGCGUAAAGCGUGCGCAGGCGGUUAUGCAAGACAGAGGUGAAAUCCCCGGGCUCAACCUGGGAACUGCCUUUGUGACUGCAUAGCUAGAGUACGGUAGAGGGGGAUGGAAUUCCGCGUGUAGCAGUGAAAUGCGUAGAUAUGCGGAGGAACACCGAUGGCGAAGGCAAUCCCCUGGACCUGUACUGACGCUCAUGCACGAAAGCGUGGGGAGCAAACAGGAUUAGAUACCCUGGUAGUCCACGCCCUAAACGAUGUCAACUGGUUGUUGGGAGGGUUUCUUCUCAGUAACGUAGCUAACGCGUGAAGUUGACCGCCUGGGGAGUACGGCCGCAAGGUUGAAACUCAAAUGAAUUGACGG